UCCGAGUUGACCCCGGCAGUCUCCUAUGAGUCCCCACCAUUACGUGCUGGCAACAUAGAACGAGGGUUGCGCUCGUUGCGGGACUUAACCCAACAUCUCACGACACGAGCUGACGACAACCAUGCACCACCCGUACACCGACCUUGCGGGGCACCCAUCUCUGAGUGUUUCCGGCGUAUGUCAAGCCUUGGUAAGGUUCUUCGCGUUGCAUCGAAUUAAUCCGCAUGCUCCGCCGCUUGUGCGGGCCCCCGUCAAUUCCUUUGAGUUUUAGCCUUGCGGCCGUACUCCCCAGGCGGGGCGCUUAAUGCGUUAGCUGCGGCACGGAAUCCGUGGAAGGGACCCCACACCUAGCGCCCAACGUUUACGGCGUGGACUAC
rnacentral:misc_RNA from 1 species